rnacentral:rRNA from 1 species
UCAAGCGACUAAGUGUAUGUGGUGGAUGCCUUGGCGAUCACAGGCGAUGAAGGACGUGACAGCCUGCGAAAAGCUGUGGGGAGCUGGCAAAUAAGCUUUGAUCCACAGAUGUCCGAAUGAGGGAACUCACCUGCUUUGCAGGUAUCCCAUCCUGAAUAUAUAGGGAUGGGAGGCGAACGAAGCGAACUGAAACAUCUAAGUAGCUUCAGGAAAAGAAAUCAACCGAGAUUCCGAAAGUAGCGGCGAGCGAAAUCGGAUCAGCCCAGCACUCGAUAGCAGCCAACUUACGGGAACGGUCUGGAAAGUCCGGCCAUAGAGGGUGAUAGCCCCUUACUGGAAAAGGCAGCUGUGGUACUAAGUGUGCGAUAAGUAGAGCGGGACACGUGACAUCCUGCUCGAAGAUGGGGGGACCAUCCUCCAAGGCUAAAUACUCGUGAUCGACCGAUAGCGUACCAGUACUGUGAAGGAAAGGUGAAAAGAACCCCGGGAGGGGAGUGAAAUAGAUCCUGAAACCGCAUACAUACAAACAGUAGGAGCCUCGUUAAGGGGUGACUGCGUACCUUUUGCAUAAUGGGUCAGCGACUUACGUUUAAUGGCGAGCUUAACCGUAUAGGGGAGGCGCAGCGAAAGCGAGUUCGAACAGAGCGUUCAGUCGUUAGGCGUAGACCCGAAACCAGAUGAUCUAUCCAUGGCCAGGUUGAAGGUGUGGUAACACACACUGGAGGACCGAACCGACUAGUGUUGCAAAAUUAGCGGAUGAGCUGUGGAUAGGGGUGAAAGGCUAAACAAAUCUGGAGAUAGCUGGUUCUCCCCGAAAACUAUUGAGGUAGUGCCUCGUGUAUGACUCCAGGGGGUAGAGCACUGUUAUGGCUAGGGGGACAUGGCGUCUUACCAAACCAUGGCAAACUCCGAAUACUUGGAAGUUUGAGCACGGGAGACAGAGCACCGGGUGCUAACGUCCGGACUCAAGAGGGAAACAACCCAGACCGCCGGCUAAGGUCCCUAAUAUUGACUAAGUGGAAAACGAAGUGGAAAGGCUAAGACAGUCAGGAAGUUGGCUUAGAAGCAGCCAUCCUUCAAAGAAAGCGUAAUAGCUCACUGAUCGAGUCUUUCUGCGCGGAAGAUGUAACGGGGCUAAGUCAAUAACCGAAGCCGCGGAUUCACACUUGUGUGUGAGUGGUAGGGGAGCGUUCUGUAAGCCUGCGAAGGUGACUCGUAAGGGUUGCUGGAGGUAUCAGAAGUGCGAAUGCUGACAUGAGUAACGUUAAAGCGGGUGAAAAGCCCGCUCGCCGUAAGCCCAAGGUUUCCUGCUCUACGUUCAUCGGAGCAGGGUGAGUCGGCCCCUAAGGUGAGGCUGAGAAGCGUAACUGAUGGGAACAAGGUUAAUAUUCCUUGACCACCGCUGAAUGCGAAGGGGGGACGGAGUAUUGAAGAUCAUCCGGGUGUUGGAUAUCCCGGUUUGCGAGCGUAGGAGGCUGACAGGCAAAUCCGUCAGCGAAUCUCCGAGGCAAAGCAUCGAGCUCUCUUUUGAGCGAAGUGAUUGGAUGUGCUUCCAGGAAAAGCCUCUAAGCUCCAGUUCAGCGGGACCGUACCGCAAACCGACACUGGUGGGCGAGCUGAAUAUGCUCAGGCGCUUGAGAGAACUCAGGAGAAGGAACUCGGCAAAUUGACACCGUAACUUCGGGAUAAGGUGUGCCUUUGUAGCGUGGAGGGAGAAACACCCCGAGCGCGAAGAGGUCUCAGAUAAUCGGUGGCUGCGACUGUUUAUUAAAAACACAGCACUCUGCAAAGACGAAAGUCGACGUAUAGGGUGUGAUGCCUGCCCGGUGCUGGAAGAUUAAUUGAUGGGGUGCAAGCUCCUGAUCGAAGUCCCAGUAAACGGCGGCCGUAACUAUAACGGUCCUAAGGUAGCGAAAUUCCUUGUC